rnacentral:rRNA from 1 species
AGUGAACGCUGGCGGUAGGCCUAACACAUGCAAGUCGAACGGCAGCACAGGAGAGCUUGCUCUCUGGGUGGCGAGUGGCGGACGGGUGAGGAAUACAUCGGAAUCUACUUUUUCGUGGGGGAUAACGUAGGGAAACUACGCUAAUACCGCAUACGACCUACGGGUGAAAGCAGGGGACCUUCGGGCCUUGCGCGAUUGAAUGAGCCGAUGUCGAAUUAGCUAGUUGGCGGGGUAAAGGCCCACCAAGGCGACGAUCCGUAGCUGGUCUGAGAGGAUGAUCAGCCACACUGGAACUGAGACACGGUCCAGACUCCUACGGGAGGCAGCAGUGGGGAAUAUUGGACAAUGGGCGCAAGCCUGAUCCAGCCAUACCGCGUGGGUGAAGAAGGCCUUCGGGUUGUAAAGCCCUUUUGUUGGGAAAGAAAUCCAGCUGGCUAAUACCCGGUUGGGAUGACGGUACCCAAAGAAUAAGCACCGGCUAACUUCGUGCCAGCCGCCGCAGUAA